UACGUAGGGUCCGAGCGUUAAUCGGAAUUACUGGGCGUAAAGCGUGCGCAGGCGGUUUUGUAAGCCAGAUGUGAAAGCCCCGGGCUCAACCUGGGAACUGCAUUUGGGACUGCAAGGCUGGAGUACGGCAGAGGGAGGUGGAAUUCCACGUGUAGCAGUGAAAUGCGUAGAGAUGUGGAGGAACACCGAUGGCGAAGGCAGCCUCCUGGGCUGUUCUUGACGCUGAGGCGCGAAAGCUAGGGUAGCAAACGGG
rnacentral:rRNA from 1 species